GUUUUUAAAAGGAGUUUAAGAUGUAUUUUACUUUCCAACCCUUUUGCAGCCAUUUAGCGGUAUUUCAUUUUCUCACCGACUUCUUUUCAAUGAGUCUUCUUUUUGACACAAGAGGAGUCGCCCCCUGCUGGUCAGCGGAGAUGGUGCACGUCUUAAGACGCUUUGCAUUGCCGUGGCUCGGCGGAAGCAGAGGUUAGCGUCGUUAGCUAGCAUCAUUAGCAGUGACGUCAUGCUGAGAUGCGGAACAAACACAUGACCCCAUUCAAAGCUGUUAAAGUCAAAUCAUUUAACAGAGAAUGAAUCAAUAUAUUCACUUUUAUUAUUAAAUUAUACAUCUAUACAAUAGAUCCUUAAUAAAACUGCAGCUAUACAAAUCAUUAAGAAUGAGUAACCACGUGAUAUAACCCAUUGCAAUAUAACCAAAACACUCUAAGAGGCAUGUUCUCAUUCACUGAUAACGGGGGGUCUGCACACUACCACAGCUUGAGACAUACUUAAAUAACAAGGACAUGCACAGAUGGGACCCCGACGAUCUUUGGAUCAUGCCGCUACCUCGCAUCACUUCCUGUCUGGGGAUCUUCAGCCAGACGGAGGCUGUGGGGCGUCAGAGAGGGCGGUAAUGUUCAUCGCUUUCUCAUCCAUCAGUCCAUCGGUGCAUUGGUCCAGAAAUGGGAAAACCAGCCUAAAAUAUAUCUUCACUAUUGUGAAUCGCUUCCCUUGAAUUUUUGUACAGACAUUUAUAAUCCCAGGUGGUUGAAUUGUAAUGACUUCAUUCAUUCAUGACAGUGAUACCCAAAGCCGGCUCAAGCCUUUUGUUGAGCUCGUUCAAACUACAACCGACAAAGACAAGGACGGCUGACCUGCUUUGGAGCAGCUUAAGCUAGCGAGAUGUCGUCCCCCAACACGAGCUGCAGGUGAGACGUAGCAUUUCCAGAAUAAGAAUCACUUUUUGUUCUGGUGUUUAAUCGCAUUACAGGCUCACCGGAGCACUACUCCGUAUACAAAACAUACGUAUCCCUGUAAUCCAGAUAAUAAAUAAAACAAAUUAUGCCUGGUGGCCCUUUUUAUUUUGCAAAAAGCUCUAAAAACACAAAACCUUUGCGUCGGUACUUUUGUUUCGGUUUGGUGCACCGUUUAAGUUUGGCUUGUAUCGCCGAGCCCGAGACAAGCGGUACAAACUCAGGUAGAGUGACCAAGUGUAGUGGGGAAGGUCACGAUCUGGGAACCACCUGGGACCACCUGGAGCUACCUGGAGCUACCUGGGACCACCUGGAACCACCUGGAGCUACCUGGAGCUACCUGGAUCUUCUCCUUUAGUAAUCUCUUUCUUGCUACUUUCAUGAUUCCAUGUACACGCUGCUUUUGGAAUCUUACAUACUUUUAAAAAGGUGCAACGUGUAAUAUCUGUCUAAAGACCUUAUAAACUAAAAUAAGAGACAGCAAAGUGUGAGGAGAUUACGGUUUUGACUUUAUAGUGAAAUAUGUUAACGUAUUGUGCUGCAGAGAGGGAGACGUUAAACUGGUCAAAAAUAGUUAUUUCAAUAGGCGCUUCUGUAUAUUAUUAUAUCUGACGGCUGCACAUUUAGACUGUUGGAAAAAGGUAAAAGAGGUGAGGUGCUGCCCCCUAGUUGCUUGGAGCAGAUGGACGGAUCUGACGCGUUGCACCUUUAAAAGUAAUACAACAGCAGAUUGUGCAGUUAAAUAAAAGCAAACGAACAUCUGCUGUCAAAACAAUGCACAUGAAUGGUGUGCAAUGCCUUUUUUGGGGGGGGGGCAAGAUUUGAAAACCUGGAACACGUGUUGAUUUACAUUCUGGUUCGCAUCCAGUUGGCUGAAGAUUACACAAUUGUGAAUAAUAACCCUAACAAUCCGCCUGUUAUCCUUUAUUGGUGGUCAAGUGGCAGGAAACUAAAACCUCCUUUUUAUUCUGCACAACGACAACAAGCUCCCUUCUAUGGAAAUCACACAGAUCACUCGCAAAAUGUCCAAAAUGAAAGCUUGUAUGCAAAUUAGGCACUCAUACAGUAUAGGCAGUGUUGUCCCUGUUUCUUCUGCUGGAACGUUUCACCACCAGUGGGGAAAAAAAACAAAGACGGCAGCAGAUGCGCGCGUAUCUUACAGGCCUGCGCCUCCUCGCACAGAAAGCUUGGGCGGGUCCGUCUCAGCCCAUUCUAACCAAAUGUGCCGAGUUGUGCGCUUUCAGGACGGACAGCAGCGUUUCCCGGGGCGUCCCUCUCCGCCCCCCCCCAACACCCCCCACCGCGGGACAUCCACCUUUUUGCUUCACACAUGUUUGCGACUACACAGCAGCUGUGUUCCGGCAGCUUCACCGACAUCAAGCACACCGACCGCUGCAGAGCUUCGGCCGCGGCGCCACCGGCUGCAGGCUUUUUGUU
ensembl:lncRNA